rnacentral:lncRNA from 1 species
UUUUUAUGUAUAAUUAAACACAAACAUAUACACAAACUACACAAUAUCAUCACACACAUAAGAACUAUUCAUUUCAAAGCACUUUCUGAAUCAUCCUGUACCAAAUCACACAGCUAGCACAGGAUACCCAGAUUCAUUGCAUAACUGUACUAGAUCACAUAACAAGUACAGUGCAUCGUACAUCUGCAGCAAAUCACACAGUCAGUGCAAUAUACCCAAAUUUCACUCGUACACACAUUGGUUAUACAUUUCACAUACAUAACAUAUGUACACACAUU